GGUGACACGUUGCAGGACAUCAGGGGAGAGCUCUGGGAAGGAGAGAUAAAUCCAAAUCCAAAUGAGGUGAAGGAAUGAGGUAAUGGAAUCCAAAUGAGGUAAUAAGUUUGCCAAGACAGGCAUUGUAAAGAGAAGGGGACCAAGGACAGAGCCUUGGGGGACUCCAACUGAGUCAGGACGGUGGAGGUAUCAUUAGAAAAAGAGACACUGAAUGUUGGGAGAGAUAAGAGGAAAACCACGAGAGGACAGAGUCACAGAGACUGAGUGAUUGAAGAGUUUGGAGAUGGAGAACAUGAUCAACGGUGUCA